rnacentral:rRNA from 1 species
UACGAAGGCCCCAAGCGUUAUCCGGAUUUACUGGGCGUAAAGAGCUCAAAGGCGGCGAAACAAGUCGAGUGUCAAAUCCCAGGGCUCAACCCUGGACCUGCAUUCGAAACUGUUUUGCUAGAGGAUGGGAAAGGUAAGCGGAAUUGCUGGUGUAGCAGUAAAAUGUGUUAAUAUCAGCAGGAACACCGAUAGAGAAGUCAGCUUACUGGAACAUUUCUGACGCUAUAGAGCGAAAGCGUGGGUAGCGAAU